CCUUUGUGCUGGGUGGGAGAGCAGCGCUGAUGUUUACCUGGGGGGAGCUGGGAGUGGUGCUGCCAGUGUCAUUGCUCCGCAGCGUCACCCCUGCCCACCGCACCUUCCUCGCCCAGGCAGGGCUCUGUAUUUAACGGGUGCCCGAGGGCUGGGCCCGCUGCUUUGGGAGAGCCACGCCAAGGACGGCCAUCAGGACUGCGCUGCUCUCGGAAGGAACUGAUCUGCGGGCUUGGAGUCAGUAGAGGAUGCCGAAAUCUUGCUUUGGCAAAUCAGGAUCAUCACAGAAGAAAAUCUGCCAAUCUGCCCCUCCAAAAUGCCAGCACUCUGGGCCCAGCAAUCCUUGUUACAAAGCAGUGUCAACCUGCAUCUCUGGGACCUGUCUCCCAGGGCCCUCUCCGCAUGGGUUCACACUGGGACGCUGCCUGGGACCCUGCGUGUGUGCCUACAUGUGUACCGAUGUGUGUGCCAACCUGUGUGCCAACCUGCGUGCCCACCUGGGUACCUGCCUGUCUGCACACCUGGAUGCCCUCCACUCCCCGACUGAUGAAGAAGCACUCCAAGAGCUACCACAGGCUACACUGAGGCAAGGUAUAGUUGCAGCAGAUC